rnacentral:misc_RNA from 1 species
GAUGAAGAACGUGGCGAAAUGCGAUAAGUAAUGUGAAUUGCAGAAUUCAGUGAAUCAUCGAAUCUUUGAACGCACAUUGCGCCCGCCAGUAUUCUGGCGGGCAUGCCUGUUCGAGCGUCAUUUCAACCAUCAAGCCCCCGGGCUUGUGUUGGGGACCUGCGGCUGCCGCAGGCCCUGAAAACCAGUGGCGGGCUCGCUAGUCACUCCGAGCGUAGUAGUUACAUCUCGCUCAGGGCGUGCUGCGGGUUCCGGCCGUUAAAAGCCUUUUACCCCAAGGUUGACCUCGGAUCAGGUAGGAAGACCCGCUGAACUUAAGGAUAUCAAUAAGCGGAGGA